rnacentral:rRNA from 1 species
UACGUAGGUGGCAAGCGUUGUCCGGAAUUAUUGGGCGUAAAGCGCGCGCAGGCGGUCCUUUAAGUCUGAUGUGAAAGCCCACGGCUCAACCGUGGAGGGUCAUUGGAAACUGGGGGACUUGAGUACAGAAGAGAAGAGUGGAAUUCCACGUGUAGCGGUGAAAUGCGUAGAGAUGUGGAGGAACACCAGUGGCGAAGGCGGCCCGCUGGGCAGUGGCUGACGCUGAGGCACGAAAGUGUGGGGAUCAAACAGG